AAUGGACCAAUUUGUAAGUCGCUCUGGAUAAGAGCGUCUGCUAAAUGACUUAAA
rfam:Salmo salar isolate Sally breed double haploid chromosome ssa07, whole genome shotgun sequence.